AACGAACGCUGGCGGCAGGCUUAACACAUGCAAGUCGAACGGGUGUAGCAAUACAUCAGUGGCAGACGGGUGAGUAACACGUGGGAACCUUCCUCGUUGUACGGGACAACUCAGGGAAACUUGAGCUAAUACCGUAUACGUCCGAGAGGAGAAAGAUUUAUCGCAAUGAGACGGGCCCGCGUCGGAUUAGCUAGUUGGUGGGGUAACGGCCUACCAAGGCGACGAUCCGUAGCUGAUCUGAGAGGAUGAUCAGCCACACUGGGACUGAGACACGGCCCAGACUCCUACGGGAGGCAGCAGUGGGGAAUCUUGGACAAUGGGCGCAAGCCUGAUCCAGCCAUGCCGCGUGAGUGAAGAAGGCCUUAGGGUUGUAAAGCUCUUUUGCCAGGGACGAUAAUGACGGUACCUGGAGAAUAAGCCCCGGCAAACUUCGUGCCAGC
rnacentral:rRNA from 1 species